AUUGAACGCUGGCGGCAGGCCUAACACACGCAAGUCGAACGGCAGCGGGGGAUAGCUUGCUAUCCUGCCGGCGAGUGGCGGACGGGUGAGUAAUGCAUGGGGAGCUGCCCAGUCGAGGGGGAUAACAACUGGAACCGGUUGCUAAUACCGCAUACGACCUAAGGGGGAAAGGUGGGGAACUUCGGUCCUACCGCGAUUGGAUGCGCCCAUGUGGGAUUAGCUAGUUGGUGGGGUAACGGCUCACCAAGGCGACGAUCUGUAGCUGGUCUGAGAGGAGGACCAGCCACACUGGAACUGAGACACGGUCCAGACUCCUACGGGAGGCAGCGGUGGGGAAUAUUGCACAAUGGGGGAAACCCUGAUGCAGCCAUGCCGCGUGUGUGAAGAAGGCCUUCGGGUUGUAAAGCACUUUCAGUCAGGAGGAAGGGGUGAUGGCUAAUAUCCAUCAUCAUUGACGUUACUGACAGAAGAAGCACCGGCUAACUCCGUGCCAGCAGCCGCGGUAA
rnacentral:rRNA from 1 species